rnacentral:rRNA from 1 species
UACGGGGGGGGCAAGCGUUGUUCGGAAUUACUGGGCGUAAAGGGCUCGUAGGCGGCCAACUAAGUCAGACGUGAAAUCCCCAGGCUUAACCUGGGAACUGCGUCUGAUACUGGAUGGCUUGAAUUCGGGAGAGGGAUGCAGAAUUCCAGGUGUAGCGGUGAAAUGCGUAGAUAUCUGGAGGAAUACCGGUGGCGAAGGCGGCAUCCUGGACCGACAUUGACGCUGAUGAGCGAAAGCUAGGGGAGCAAACGGG